rnacentral:rRNA from 1 species
GACGAACGCUGGCGGCGUGCUUAACACAUGCAAGUCGAACGGAAAGGCCCUGCCUUUGUGGGGUGCUCGAGUGGCGAACGGGUGAGUAACACGUGAGUAACCUGCCCUUGACUUUGGGAUAACUUCAGGAAACUGGGGCUAAUACCGGAUAGGAGCUCCUGCUGCAUGGUGGGGGUUGGAAAGUUUCGGCGGUUGGGGCUGGACUCGCGGCUUAUCAGCUUGUUGGUGGGGUAGUGGCUUACCAAGGCUUUGACGGGUAGCCGGCCUGAGAGGGUGGCCGGCCGCAGUGGAACUGCGAUUCGGCCCGGACUCCUGCGGGAGGCAGCAGUGGGGAAUGUUGCACAACAGGCCGAAGCCUGAUGCAGCAACGCCGCGUGCGGGAUGACGGCCUUCGGGUUGUACGCCGCUUUCGCCUAUGACGAGGCGUGUGUGACGGUUUUGGGUACUGAAGCACCGGCUAACUACGUG